AGGGGUGCCCUUCGGGGAGCCGUGAGACAGGUGCUGCAUGGCUGUCGUCAGCUCGUGUCGUGAGAUGUUGGGUUAAGUCCCGCAACGAGCGCAACCCUUAUUGUUAGUUGCUACCAUUUAGUUGAGCACUCUAGCGAGACUGCCCGGGUUAACCGGGAGGAAGGUGGGGAUGACGUCAAAUCAUCAUGCCCCUUAUGUCUAGGGCUACACACGUGCUACAAUGGUCGGUACAAUGAGAUGCAACCUCGCGAGAGUGAGCAAAACUAUAAAACCGAUCUCAGUUCGGAUUGUAGGCUGAAACUCGCCUACAUGAAGCUGGAGUUGCUAGUAAUCGCGAAUCAGAAUGUCGCGGUGAAUGCGUUCCCGGGCCUU
rnacentral:rRNA from 1 species